GGCGGACGGGUGAGUAACGCGUAAGAACCUGCCCUUGGGAGGGGAACAACAGCUGGAAACGGCUGCUAAUACCCCAUAGGCUGAGGAGCAAAAGGAGGAAUCCGCCCAAGGAGGGGCUCGCGUCUGAUUAGUUAGUUGGUGAGGCAAUGGCUUACCAAGGCGACGAUCAGUAGCUGGUCCGAGAGGAUGAUCAGCCACACUGGGACUGAGACACGGCCCAGACUCCUACGGGAGGCAGCAGUGGGGAAUUUUCCGCAAUGGGCGAAAGCCUGACGGAGCAAUGCCGCGUGAAGGCAGAAGGCCCACGGGUCAUGAACUUCUUUUCUCG
rnacentral:rRNA from 1 species